CCUACGGGUGGCAGCAGUAGGGAAUCUUCCACAAUGGGCGAAAGCCUGAUGGAGCAACGCCGCGUGGGUGAAGAAGGUCUUCGGAUCGUAAAACCCUGUUGUUAGAGAAGAAAGUGCGUGAGAGUAACUGUUCACGUGUCGACGGUAUCUAACCAGAAAGCCACGGCUAACUACGUGCCAGCAGCCGCGGUAAGACGUAGUUGGCAAGCGUUAUCCGGAUUUAUUGGGCGUAAAGGGAACGCAGGCGGUCUUUUAAGUCUGAUGUGAAAGCCUUCGGCUUAACCGGAGUAGUGCAUCGGAAUCUGUGAGACUUGUGUGCAGACGCGGAGAGUGGAACUCCCUGUGUAGCGGUGACAUGCGUAGAUAUAUGGAAGACCACCAGUGGCGAACGCGGCUCUCUGGUCUGUACCUGACGCUGAGGUUCGAAAGCGUGGGUAGCAAACAGGAUUAGAUACCCUUGUAGUC
rnacentral:rRNA from 1 species